CGCCCUUAGAGUUUGAUCAUGGCUCAGGACGAACGCUGGCGGCGUGCCUAAUACAUGCAAGUAGAACGGAGGAGCUUGCUCUUCGAGUUGCGAACGGGUGAGUAACGCGUAGGUAACCUGCCUGGUAGCGGGGGAUAACUAUUGGAAACGAUAGCUAAUACCGCAUAACAGUAGAUCGCAUGAUGCUGCUUGAAAGGUGAUUGCACCACUACCAGAUGGACCUGCGUUGUAUUAGCUAGUUGGUGAGGUAACGGCUCACCAAGGCAACGAUACAUAGCCGACCUGAGAGGGUGAUCAGCCACACUGGGACUGAGACACGGCCCAGACUCCUACGGGAGGCAGCAGUAGGGAAUCUUCGGCAAUGGACGGAAGUCUGACCGAGCAACGCCGCGUGAGUGAAGAAGGUUUUCGGAUCGUAAAGCUCUGUUGUAAGAGAAGAACGGAGUGUGAGAAAUCACACUGUGACGGUAUCUUACCAGAAAGGGACGGCUAACUACGUGCCAGCAGCCGCGGUAAUACGUAUGUCCCGAGCGUUGU
rnacentral:rRNA from 1 species